ACAACCGAUACAGAAAGACACAAACAGACACAGACCGAGAUUGAGACACACUGUACAACUCAACACGGUAUUCAGAGACAACUACGUAAGCAUCACCGUCACAACCAACACCGUUUCAACCACGAUACUCGUAUUGGAACACAACCUAGCAGAUCUCAACAAUACUUGAUAACACCACAACAGUACUUGCCACCACCACAACAAGUACUUCCCCCAUUACAUCUUCGACGGCGUGUACUGUACUUCGGAAACCCCUAUAAUACAGCACCAUCCAUUCCUCAACCACCCUCUCAAACAACCACCCUCUCAUACAAAUCCUCUCAUACGAAUCCUCUCAUACAAAUCCUCUCAUACAAAUCCUCUCCGCAUAACCCCUCCACAUAACCCCUCCCCCACAACUCCCGGAACACCUCCCACAACACCUCCCACAACACCUCCCACAACUCCCAAAAAUGCUCUUCUCAUUCACAACCACCCGAACCUUCAGCGAAGACGACGGAGACGAGUACGUGCACUCCAUCGAGGCUACCCCGACCUACUCCAUGUUGAUAGAUCGGGUCGACGAGCUGACGAAGCAGCUCGACCAGGAGCGACGUGCCCGGCUGGUGCUCGAGGCCAAGUUCAUGGAGCUCAUUGAAGACUCAGCCAGAACCAACUCCCAGUGCUCGAGCGUUUGAUUGGUACUGCACUGUACGGUCAGUGCGACAAGUACUACUAGUACUACAGGCCAAAGUAAUGUGACGACCAAACGAACGGUCGAAGGAAGACCGGAUUAUUUAUUAUCAGUAGCUAAAUGAAACUGUGGCAAAUUGA
rnacentral:misc_RNA from 1 species